rnacentral:rRNA from 1 species
UGCGCAGGCGGGCUUGUAAGUCAGUGGUGAAAUACUGCCGCUUAACGGUAAAAUUGCCAUUGAUACUGAAGUUCUUGAAUAUGGUUGAGGUAGGCGGAAUGUGUUGUGUAGCGGUGAAAUGCAUAGAUAUGACACAGAACGCCGAUUGCGAAGGCAGCUUACUAAGCCAUUAUUGACGCUGAGGCACGAAAGCGUGGGGAGCGAACAGGAUUAGAUACCCUGGUAGUCC